rnacentral:rRNA from 1 species
GUGGGGAAUAUUGGACAAUGGACCGAGAGUCUGAUCCAGCAAUUCUGUGUGCACGAUGAAGUUUUUCGGAAUGUAAAGUGCUUUCAGUUGGGAAGAAGAAAGUGACGGUACCAACAGAAGAAGCGACGGCUAAAUACGUGCCAGCAGCCGCGGUAAUACGUAUGUCGCAAGCGUUAUCCGGAUUUAUUGGGCGUAAAGCGCGUCUAGGCGGUUUAUUAAGUCUGAUGUGAAAAUGCGGGGCUCAACUCCGUAUUGCGUUGGAAACUGGUAGACUAGAGUACUGGAGAGGUAAGCGGAACUACAAGUGUAGAGGUGAAAUUCGUAGAUAUUUGUAGGAAUGCCGAUGGGGAAGCCAGCUUACUGGACAGAUACUGACGCUAAAGCGCGAAAGCGUGGGUAGCAAACAGG